rnacentral:rRNA from 1 species
UACGGAGGUUGCAAGCGUUGUUCGGAAUUACUGGGCGUAAAGGGAGCGCAGGCGGCUUGGCCAGUCUGAAGUGGAAUCCCACGGCUUAACCGUGGACGUGCUUUGGAUACUACCAAGCUUGAGUACGUGAGAGGAAGGCGGAAUUCCAGGUGUAGCGGUGAAAUGCGUAGAUAUCUGGAGGAACACCGGUGGCGAAGGCGGCCUUCUGGCGCGCUACUGACGCUGAGGCUCGAAAGCGUGGGGAGCGAACGGG